GAUCCUGGAGGCUAACAUCCGAUAGCGCGUUGCGCCCUCGGAUGCCAAUCCG
rnacentral:sRNA from 1 species